GUUUUUGGAUUGGGUUUCGGUCUUUAUUUUUUAUUUUUUAUAAUAUUAAAAAAAUUUAAUGUUUAUUUAUUUUUGAGAGCGAGACAGAGAGAGACAGAGUGCAAGUGGAGGGGCAGAGAGAGAGGGAGACACAGAAUCUGAAGCAGGCUCCAGGUGGCUCAGUUGCUUAGGCAUCCAACUGUUGAUCUCGGCUCAGGCCAUGAUCUCAUGGUUCGUGGGAUCAAGACUCGCAUCAGGCUCUACACUGAUAGUGUGGAGCCUGCUUGGGAUUCUCUCUCUCUCUCUCUCUCUCUCUCUCUCUUUCUCUCUGUCUCUCCUUUUCUCUGCCCCUCGCUCACUCGUGCACGCUCUCGCUCUCUCAAAAUAAAUAAGCAAACUGAAAACAAUCCUAAAUGAAUUUGUUUAUAAAUUUGGCAUUCUCCCUUUUAAUGCACAUUUUUUUUUAAUUUUUUUUUCAACGUUUAUUUAUUUUUGGGACAGAGAGAGAGCAUGAACGGGGUCCUGUGUCUCACGGACCGCGAGAUCGUGACCUGGCUGAAGUCGGACGCUUAACCGACUGCGCCACCCAGGCGCCCCUAAUGCACAUUUUAAAUGCAUGGGGGUGGUGCGUGUUUCACAUGCUGCUAAAUUAAAACAACAUCAUGGUUAGGUGUCAUUUCCAACGAUGGCCAUGAGGACAUCUCCCCUCCAUUUCAACCACCCAAACCUUCCCCGGCCCAUCCCUGAUCUCAGUAAAUGGCACUGUCCAUUUACUUGAACCCAAACUUAACCUCUUCUUGAUUCCUCCUUUCACACCCCAUCCACCUGCAAGUUCUGUCAGCUUUACCUUGAAAAUAUACCCUGAAUCUGACCUUCUGUCCCUCCUCCACCGUCGCUACUCUGUCCAGGUCACCAUCACCUCUGCCUGGACAUCUGCAAAAGUCUCUUAAAAACUACGGGUGCCUGGGGGGCUCAGGUUAUAAUCUCACAGUUCCUGGGAUUAAGCCCCUCAUAGAGCUCUGUGCUGAUUGUGGAGACUGCUUAACACUCUUCCUCUCUCGGGGCUCCUGUGUGGUUCAGUUGGUUAAGCGCCGGCUGAGGUUGUGAUCU
rnacentral:lncRNA from 1 species